rnacentral:ncRNA from 1 species
AACCGUAAAGGGCAAACCUGUUGAAAGGCAGGGAUGCAAAGCCAAGGUUCUAAAGCAUUUGCUAUGAUAGCCGGGCUGUCGAA